rnacentral:rRNA from 1 species
GCACAAGCGGUGGAUGAUGUGGUUUAAUUCGAUGCAACGCGAAAAACCUUACCUACCCUUGACAUGUCUAGAAUUUUGCAGAGAUGUGAAAGUGCUCGAAAGGGAACUAGAACACAGGUGCUGCAUGGCCGUCGUCAGCUCGUGUCGUGAGAUGUUGGGUUAAGUCCCGCAACGAGCGCAACCCUUGUCAUUAGUUGCUACGAAAGGGCACUCUAAUGAGACUGCCGGUGACAAACCGGAGGAAGGUGGGGAUGACGUCAGGUCCUCAUGGCCCUUAUGGGUAGGGCUACACACGUCAUACAAUGGCCGGUACAGAGGGUCGCCAACCCGCGAGGGGGAGCCAAUCCCAGAAAACCGGUCGUAAUCCGGAUCGCAGUCUGCAACUCGACUGCGUGAAGUCGGAAUCGCUAGUAAUCGCGGAUCAGCUUGCCGCGGUGAAUACGUUCCCGGGUCUUGUACACACCGCCCGUCACACCAUGGGAGCGGGUUCUGCCAGAAGUAGUUAGCCUAACCGCAAGGAGGGCGAUUACCACGGCAGGGUUCGUGACUGGGGUGAAGUCGUAACAAGGUAGCCGUAUCGGAAGGUGCGGCUGGAUCACCUCCUUUCUG